UGAGUAACACGUGGAUAACCUGCCUCAAGGCUGGGGAUAACAUUUGGAAACAGAUGCUAAUACCGAAUAAAACUUAGUAUCGCAUGAUACAAAGUUGAAAGGCGCUACGGCGUCACCUAGAGAUGGGUCCGCGGUGCAUUAGUUAGUUGGUGGGGUAAAGGCCUACCAAGACAAUGAUGCAUAGCCGAGUUGAGAGACUGAUCGGCCACAUUGGGACUGAGACACGGCCCAAACUCCUACGGGAGGCUGCAGUAGGGAAUCUUCCACAAUGGGCGCAAGCCUGAUGGAGCAACGCCGCGUGUGUGAUGAAGGCUUUCGGGUCGUAAAGCACUGUUGUAUGGGAAGAAAUGCUAGAAUAGGGAAUGAUUCUAGUUCGACGGUACCAUACCAGAAAGGGACGGCUAAAUACGUGCCAGCAGCCGCGGUAAUACGUAUGUCCCGAGCGUUAUCCGGAUUUAUUGGGCGUAAAGCGAGCGCAGACGGUUGAUUAAGUCUGAUGUGAAAGCCCGGAGCUCAACUCCGGAAUGGCAUUGGAAACUGGUUAACUUGAGUGUUGUAGAGGUAAGUGGAACUCCAUGUGUAGCGGUGGAAUGCGUAGAUAUAUGGAAGAACACCAGUGGCGAAGGCGGCUUACUGGACAACAACUGACGUUGAGGCUCGAAAGUGUGGGUAGCAAACAGGAUUAGAUACCCUGGUAGUCCACACCGUAAACGAUGAAUACUAGGUGUUAGGAGGUUUCCGCCUCUUAGUGCCGAAGCUAACGCAUUAAGUAUU
rnacentral:rRNA from 1 species